GAUGAACGCUGGCGGCGUGCCUAAUACAUGCAAGUCGAGCGAACAGACGAGGAGCUUGCUCCUCUGACGUUAGCGGCGGACGGGUGAGUAACACGUGGAUACCCUACCUAUAAGACUGGGAUAACUUCGGGAAACCGGAGCUAAUACCGUAUAAUAUAUUGAACCGCAUGGUUCAAUAGUGAAAGACGGUUUUGCUGUCACUUAUAGAUGGAUCCGCGCCGCAUUAGCUAGUUGGUAAGGUAACGGCUUACCAAGGCAACGAUGCGUAGCCGACCUGAGAGGGUGAUAGGCCACACUGGAACUGAGACACGGUCCAGACUCCUACGGGAGGCAGCAGUAGGGAAUCUUCCGCAAUGGGCGAAAGCCUGACGGAGCAACGCCGCGUGAGUGAUGAAGGUCUUCGGAUCGUAAAACUCUGUUAUUAGGGAAGAACAAAUGUGUAAGUAACUAUGCACGUCUUGACGGUACCUAAUCAGAAAGCCACGGCUAACUACGUG
rnacentral:rRNA from 1 species